rnacentral:hammerhead_ribozyme from 1 species
AUUCAGAUGUUGAGUCCCAAACAGGACGAAAUGAGCGUUCUGAAU